UACAGAGGUGCCGAGCGUUAGGCGGAAUCACUGGGCUUAAAGCGUGUGUAGGCGGACCGUUAAGUACCUUGUGAAAUCCCACGGCUCAACCGUGGAACGGCUGGGUAUACUGGCGGUCUUGAGCCACCUAGGGGCAGAUGGAACAGACGGUGGAGCGGUGAAAUGCGUAGAUAUCGUCUGGAACGCCAAUGGUGAAAACAGUCUGCUGGGGGUGUGCUGACGCUGAGACACGAAAGCCAGGGGAGCAAACGGG
rnacentral:rRNA from 1 species